rnacentral:tRNA from 1 species
GCUAAGUAGCUCAGGGGCAGAGCGGUAGACUGAAGCUCUACUUGACAGCGGUUCAAGUCCGUUUUUAGGCG